rnacentral:rRNA from 1 species
CCUACGGGGGGCUGCAGUGGGGAAUAUUGCACAAUGGGGGAAACCCUGAUGCAGCAACGCCGCGUGAGCGAUGAAGGCCUUCGGGUCGUAAAGCUCUGUCCUAAGGGAAGAAUACUGACGGUACCUUAGGAGGAAGCCCCGGCUAACUACGUGCCAGCAGCCGCGGUAAUACGUAGGGGGCUAGCGUUAUCCGGAAUUACUGGGCGUAAAGGGUGCGUAGGCGGCCCUUCAAGUCAGAGGUGAAAGGCUACGGCUCAACCGUAGUAAGCCUUUGAAACUGUAGGGCUUGGGGGCAGGAGAGGGGGGUGGGUUUGCCGGUGUGGCGGUGAAAUGCGGAGGGAUAGGGCGGAGCAAGAGUUGGGGAGGCGGCUCUGUGGAGUGUAAAUGACGCGGAGGCACGAAAGCGUGGAGAGCGAACAGGAUUAGCUAGCCGGGUAGGC